AGGCUUGCAGAAAAACAGUGAAGAAAUGAGAGGAAGUGGAAGGAUAUAAGGUAGCUUCUGCAGAAUCCAAUAUACUUGGAGUCCACAUCCAAGAUCAAAGCAUCUAGCUCUGUUCACUCAGGUUCUCAGGAGUAUCUCACAAAUGAGUCAUCAUAGAGAAGAAGACAAUUCCACAGAAGCAAAGCCAGUGCAUUGGUAGGGAGCUAAAUUAGCAGGCAUGCUACCUAUACUAAAUACAUGUUGUGCUUCAUCUCCCUUCUGUCCUUCUAUGUAUUGAACUCAUUGGCAUAUGAUGUAACCUGUUAAUAUUCUUAAUGAAAUCACCCAUAAUGGGCAUUUUUCUUAAAUAAAAGAUUACAGUAUACCAUGACUAAGGCUUCAUAAAGGAUUGUGUCUCCCUUGGUGUUAUUUGCAACAGCUGAGUAGCUCCGGGGAGUGUCAACGUAUGUGCCCAAACUCAGUAGAACAAGCACUAACGAUAGCAGAACUUGAAAAAUCGAGGAGAUGGCUCAUGGCUGCUCUCACCAUAUAGUUCAAAGGUUCACUAUCCAAUGAUGCUAUUUAUGUUUAGGGUACUUAUUGUAUAACUAGUUAUAACAGAUAUGUUGUUUUAUGAUGACAUAUAUUUAGGAA